rnacentral:misc_RNA from 1 species
AAGUCAAUCAGGUUCAUCCAAAUUCAUAUGUUUGUUUUUUCUAUCUUCAUUUGUUAUGAAAGAUCUUGAUGAAUGCAGUUGCAUCUUUUUCCAUUCUAUAAUACAGUAUUUGAAACAACACACUGUUCCAGGGAAUAAUUUUGAUAUGAACACAUAGAAGCAGACAAAUUUUUUGACUCAAAUGAUAACGUAAAUUCUAAUUCUUAGUGCUCUUGAAUUUACUCCUUCUAUUUCUGUCUUGGUGAACCAAAAGUUGUCCCAUCUCUCAUCUUUUGUUGUGAAUUAUAGAAACAUUUAUUGUUAAAAAAUUAUUAUCAAUUAAUUUAAUCGUUUAUGGGAAUAUUUGACAUUGCAUUUGUUUCUUAAAUCUUAGUAGUGCAUCAAACUGUUUCUAUGCAUUCCAU